rnacentral:misc_RNA from 1 species
AUUUUUUUUGUUUUUUUUUUUUUUAUUUUUUUUGUUUUUUUUGUUUUUUUUUUGGUACCUUUUGGGUUGUGCUGAAAUCCAAAACGCUUAUAACAUUUUUGUGGGUUUUGUACAAGUUUUCCAUUUUGUUUGGAAAUUUUCCAUCUUUUGUUUGGUUUGUCCAUUGUUUGCUUCUGAAAGAGAAUGAUAUGGGAAAUUUAGUGUUUGGGUUCCACUACAAUUGAUAUUAUAUGCUGCUUUUUGAAUUACCCCUUUGUGGUAGUUGUUCAUGUGGAAUAAUAGCUAAGGUUUUAAGCAUCUGUGUUUGAGGCUAUGGAUGACUGCAGGUUUCUGUUUUGCUCAUCCAUCAUCGUUGGGUCAAGGCAUUUUUGCCUUUUGCUAUCUAUUGGAUUAAAUUGAACCCAGCCUGGCUUCAAUUAACAUUUCUUUAUCAUUCAAUUGUGGUUGCUUUUAUAAAUUUUUAUCAUAUAUGUUGUUUCAACUUUAGCUCCUUUACUUUUAUUCAUUAGUGAUCAUAUACGUUGUGUUUGAGUACCUGGUCAUUGGGUAUAGUAGCGCUUAUUGGAUAAUCGCUGAAUUUUUCCUUUUGUUUUUUUGUAAUUAAUGUAUUCAUUGUGUCUCCAAUUUUUCUUCUUUUUCUCUCAAUCAUGCUAAUAGGGAAGUAAUCUUCGAAUGCAUGUGGUACCUAAUGUUUGUACUUUGUAGUAUCCAUAUGUUCUGAUUUUGGCCUUUCUCGUGGCAUAUUUCCUUGUAUAUACUAAGAAACCUUGAUUUUGGAACAGAUAGCAUGGCUAUGGAACCAAGCUUCUUUGAGCAUGAGGUACACUUUGAAUCUGAAGAUGUUGCACUUAAGCCAAAAUGGAAAUCCAUCUCAACCCCUACUGGCAUCUCAGAUGAUGAUGGUGAUUGUUUUGACUGCAACAUAUGCUUAGACUCGGCACAAGAUCCUAUUGUCACUCUUUGUGGUCAUCUGUAUUGCUGGCCAUGUAUUUACAAGUGGCUGCAAGUUCAAAGUUCUCCAGAUGCCA